GGGGAAGGGUGUCUUCUGGAGGUCUACUCUGCUGGAAUUUCAUAAGCCAGCUCAAGAUAUGGGAGCACAUCAUUGUUGUUGCUAGAUGAUCUCUCAAAAGAUGGCUUCAGCUGCCCUGGCACAGGCUCUAUUUUGGCAACUGACUAUACAAAGUUCUUCUGUGUUUCUUGCUGUUUGCCAGGCAAGGAAGGACAAACCAGCUGCUUUCCAAAAGGCACAGAAGGGUGUGGAAAGUGCCUGGUAAAAACUCUAGGUCACAGCAGAUGUUGCUCAAGAAUGGGCAGAACUGAUUCUCCUCACCUGAGAGCCAGCAAAACCAGGAGGUGGAACCAGCUUGCAGUUCUCAGAUGUUAUCCAUGUGGUGUGCAAAGUCCUGGAGCUGUUUGAACUUCAGUGUUUUUACUGGAUGCUUUGACUUUGUUGCACAGGUUUAUGCAUAGCUUAUGCUCUCUCCUAUAUGUAACUUGUAAUAUUAUUGUGUUUUCAGUAUGCUCAUUGACCUAUUCCAGCUACCCAAAGAUGAUGGUGCAUUUCCUUCCAGUAUUUUAAAUUGUAUUCAGGGGAAAGGAGAACUUCAAAUUCCAGAAAUGGCCUCUGAUCCAUGCCCCUUCAGCAUCCUGGUCCUGCUGUGGCUCCUUGAUAUGUUGGCUACACAAGGAGAGGGCUGCAGCUGGUGAUGGGCAAAUUAGAAGUCAGAUGGGGUCUGAUACUGUGACAAUGACAUAUUAUUUAAAAAAAAACAAACAACAAAUGUCUCGUUUUUUAAUCAGUAUAUUUCUGUAAAAGGUGGGAGAGGGACUGCAGGUCUGGAAGAGGAGCUUUGAGAAUAAAUACUACUUGUAGAUA